rnacentral:rRNA from 2 species
ACGGGAGGCAGCAGUGGGGAAUAUUGGGCAAUGGGGGAAACCCUGACCCAGCAACGCCGCGUGAAGGAAGAAGGCCUUCGGGUUGUAAACUUCUUUUACCAGGGACGAAGAACGUGACGGUACCUGGAGAAAAAGCUACGGCUAACUACGUGCCAGCAGCCGCGGUAAUACGUAGGUAGCAAGCGUUGUCCGGAUUUACUGGGUGUAAAGGGCGUGUAGGCGGAGGAGCAAGUCAGAUGUGAAAUCCAUGGGCUUAACCCAUGAACUGCAUUUGAAACUGUUCCCCUUGAGUAUCGGAGAGGCAAGCGGAAUUCCUAGUGUAGCGGUGAAAUGCGUAGAUAUUAGGAGGAACAUCAGUGGCGAAGGCGGCUUGCUGGACGACAACUGACGCUGAGGCGCGAAAGCGUGGGUAGCAAACAGGAUUAGAUACCCUGGUA